rnacentral:rRNA from 1 species
AUUGAACGCUGGCGGCAGGCUUAACACAUGCAAGUCGAGCGGGGUGAUGGUGCUUGCACUAUCACUUAGCGGCGGACGGGUGAGUAAUGCUUAGGAAUCUGCCUAUUAGUGGGGGACAACAUCUCGAAAGGGAUGCUAAUACCGCAUACGUCCUACGGGAGAAAGCAGGGGAUCACUUGUGACCUUGCGCUAAUAGAUGAGCCUAAGUCGGAUUAGCUAGUUGGUGGGGUAAAGGCCUACCAAGGCGACGAGCUGUAGCGGGUCUGAGAGGAUGAUCCGCCACACGGGGACUGAGACACGGCCCAGACUCCUACGGGAGGCCGCAGUGGGGGAUAUUGGACAAUGGGGGGAACCCUGAUCCAGCCAUGCCGAGUGUGCGAAGAAGGCCUUAUGGUUGUAAAGCACUUUAAGCGAGGAGGAGGCUCUUUUGGUUAAUACCCAAGAUGAGUGGACGUUACUCGCAGAAUAAGCACCGGCUAACUCUGUGCCAGCCGCCGCGGUAA